CUACGGGGGGCUCCAGUGGGGAAUAUUGGACAAUGGGGGAAACCCUGAUCCAGCAAUGCCGCGUGUGUGAAGAAGGCCUGCGGGUUGUAAAGCACUUUCGGUUGGGAGGACUGCUUCUAGCACUAAUAUUGUUGGAAGUUGACGUUACCUUCAGAAGAAGCACCGGCUAACUCCGUGCCAGCAGCCGCGGUAAUACGGAGGGUGCAAGCGUUAAUCGGAAUUACUGGGCGUAAAGCGCGCGUAGGCGGCUAGAUCAGUCGGGUGUGAAAGCCCCGGGCUUAACCUGGGAACUGCAUCCGAUACUGUCUAGCUUGAGUACGGGAGAGGGGAGUGGAAUUCCACAUGUAGCGGUGAAAUGCGUAGAUAUGUGGAGGAACACCAAUGGCGAAGGCAGCUCUCUGGCCUGGUACUGACGCUGAGGUGCGAAAGCGAGGGGAGCAAACAGGAUUAGAUACCCUCGUAGUC
rnacentral:rRNA from 1 species